CACUAUCGUUAACUGAAUACAUAGGUUAACGAGGCGAACCGGGGGAACUGAAACAUCUAAGUACCCCGAGGAAAAGAAAUCAACCGAGAUUCCCCCAGUAGCGGCGAGCGAACGGGGAGCAGCCCAGAGUCUGAAUCAGCUUGUGUGUUAGUGGAACGGUCUGGAAAGUCCGACGGUACAGGGUGAUAGUCCCGUACACCAAAAUGCACAGGCUGUGAACUCGAAGAGUAGGGCGGGACACGUGGUAUCCUGUCUGAAUAUGGGGGGACCAUCCUCCAAGGCUAAAUACUCCUGACUGACCGAUAGUGAACCAGUACCGUGAGGGAAAGGCGAAAAGAACCCCGGCGAGGGGAGUGAAAAAGAACCUGAAACCGUGUACGUACAAGCAGUGGGAGCACCUUCGGGUGUGACUGCGUACCUUUUGUAUAAUGGGUCAGCGACUUAUAUUCUGUAGCAAGGUUAACCGUAUAGGGGAGCCGCAGGGAAACCGAGUCUUAACUGGGCGUUAAGUUGCAGGGUAUAGACCCGAAACCCGGUGAUCUAGCCAUGGGCAGGUUGAAGGUUGGGUAACACUAACUGGAGGACCGAACCGACUAAUGUUGAAAAAUUAGCGGAUGACUUGUGGCUGGGGGUGAAAGGCCAAUCAAACCGGGAGAUAGCUGGUUCUCCCCGAAAGCUAUUUAGGUAGCGCCUCGUGAAUUCAUCUUCGGGGGUAGAGCACUGUUUCGGCUAGGGGGUCAUCCCGACUUACCAACCCGAUGCAAACUACGAAUACCGAAGAAUGUUAUCACGGGAGACACACGGCGGGUGCUAACGUCCGUCGUGAAGAGGGAAACAACCCAGACCGCCAGCUAAGGUCCCAAAGUCAUGGUUAAGUGGGAAACGAUGUGGGAAGGCACAGACAGCCAGGAUGUUGGCUUAGAAGCAGCCAUCAUUUAAAGAAAGCGUAAUAGCUCACUGGUCGAGUCGGCCUGCGCGGAAGAUGUAACGGGGCUAAACCAUGCACCGAAGCUGCGGCAGCGACACUAUGUGUUGUUGGGUAGGGGAGCGUUCUGUAAGCCUGCGAAGGUGUGCUGUGAGGCAUGCUGGAGGUAUCAGAAGUGCGAAUGCUGACAUAAGUAACGAUAAAGCGGGUGAAAAGCCCGCUCGCCGGAAGACCAAGGGUUCCUGUCCAACGUUAAUCGGGGCAGGGUGAGUCGACCCCUAAGGCGAGGCCGAAAGGCGUAGUCGAUGGGAAACAGGUUAAUAUUCCUGUACUUGGUGUUACUGCGAAGGGGGGACGGAGAAGGCUAUGUUAGCCGGGCGACGGUUGUCCCGGUUUAAGCAUGUAGGCUGGUUGUCCAGGCAAAUCCGGAUAAUCAAGGCUGAGGUGUGAUGACGAGGCACUACGGUGCUGAAGUAACAAAUGCCCUGCUUCCAGGAAAAGCCUCUAAGCAUCAGGUAACAUCAAAUCGUACCCCAAACCGACACAGGUGGUCAGGUAGAGAAUACCAAGGCGCUUGAGAGAACUCGGGUGAAGGAACUAGGCAAAAUGGUGCCGUAACUUCGGGAGAAGGCACGCUGGUGUGUAGGUGAAGUCCCUGCGGAUGGAGCUGAGACCAGUCGAAGAUACCAGCUGGCUGCAACUGUUUAUUAAAAACACAGCACUGUGCAAACACGAAAGUGGACGUAUACGGUGUGACGCCUGCCCGGUGCCGGAAGGUUAAUUGAUGGGGUUAUCCGUAAGGAGAAGCUCUUGAUCGAAGCCCCGGUAAACGGCGGCCGUAACUAUAACGGUCCUAAGGUAGCGAAAUUCCUUGUCGGGUAAGUUCCGACCUGCACGAAUGGCGUAAUGAUGGCCAGGCUGUCUCCACCCGAGACUCAGUGAAAUUGAACUCGCUGUGAAGAUGCAGUGUACCCGCGGCAAGACGGAAAGACCCCGUGAACCUUUACUAUAGCUUGACACUGAACAUUGAGCCUUGAUGUGUAGGAUAGGUGGGAGGCUUUGAAGCGUGGACGCCAGUCUGCGUGGAGCCAACCUUGAAAUACCACCCUUUAAUGUUUGAUGUUCUAACGUUGGCCCCUUACCGGGGUUGCGGACAGUGUCUGGUGGGUAGUUUGACUGGGGCGGUCUCCUCCCAAAGCGUAACGGAGGAGCACGAAGGUUAGCUAAUCCUGGUCGGACAUCAGGAGGUUAGUGCAAUGGCAUAAGCUAGCUUGACUGCGAGCGUGACGGCGCGAGCAGGUGCGAAAGCAGGUCAUAGUGAUCCGGUGGUUCUGAAUGGAAGGGCCAUCGCUCAACGGAUAAAAGGUACUCCGGGGAUAACAGGCUGAUACCGCCCAAGAGUUCAUAUCGACGGCGGUGUUUGGCACCUCGAUGUCGGCUCAUCACAUCCUGGGGCUGAAGUAGGUCCCAAGGGUAUGGCUGUUCGCCAUUUAAAGUGGUACGCGAGCUGGGUUUAGAACGUCGUGAGACAGUUCGGUCCCUAUCUGCCGUGGGCGCUGGAGAAUUGAGGGGGGCUGCUCCUAGUACGAGAGGACCGGAGUGGACGCAUCACUGGUGUUCGGGUUGUCAUGCCAAUGGCACUGCCCGGUAGCUAAAUGCGGAAGAGAUAAGUGCUGAAAGCAUCUAAGCACGAAACUUGCCCCGAGAUGAGUUCUCCCUGAGACUUUAAGUCUCCUGAAGGAACGUU
rnacentral:rRNA from 2 species